rnacentral:lncRNA from 1 species
GUUGGGCUAUUCGUAUGAGAAAACAUUGAUUUUCGCAGACCCCUAGGUGUAGACGGGCGAGACCUCCACACGGGAAGAUGUAUUUUGACAGCACGAAAAAAAUUUAAUUUCUUGUAGUGUUUGGUGAUUGUGUGGUCUGAUAUCAGCUGCUGUGACGCCUCGGUGCACGGAGAUCUCACCAAUGGUAACGUGUGCGAGCUGCAGGACUUUUAUGCAGAAAUCAGAGCGGGUGUGCACAAUUCCAGAUGACACUCAUUCCUAGCCAAUUCAAAUUUUAGUUGCUGCCCAACCGGUGAGUCC